CUCUACACUAGAGUUUAUGGCAUUUGAACAUGUAAAAGAACGUAUUCUUGGAUCCUCUUGGCCAUAACUCUAUGGUUGGCCCAAAUUUACCCUUUGGUGGGCUUGCAUGUGGGCUUGUGCUUGGGCCUUUUCCAUCACCCCCUCCCUCUUGAAAAAGAUUUGUCCUCAAAUCCAUUGCUUCUUCUUCUUCAUGGCUAGGGGAAUGGAUGUGGCUGGAUGGUGUCCAUCAUCUCCU
rnacentral:lncRNA from 1 species